UACGGGGGGGGCAAGCGUUGUUCGGAAUUACUGGGCGUAAAGGGCUCGUAGGUGGCCAACUAAGUCAGACGUGAAAUCCCUCGGCUUAACCGGGGAACUGCGUCUGAUACUGGAUGGCUUGAGUUUGGGAGAGGGAUGCGGAAUUCCAGGUGUAGCGGUGAAAUGCGUAGAUAUCUGGAGGAACACCGGUGGCGAAGGCGGCAUCCUGGACCAACACUGACACUGAGGUGCGAAAGCCAGGGGAGCGAACGGG
rnacentral:rRNA from 1 species